CCCAGUCAGUCUUUGGGCCACAUCCAGGUUCUUUAUCAGUGGCACACAUGAAGCAGUUGUUGGCUUUGUUGAACUCUGAAAACAUAGGCAUGAACUGAACAUAUGGCUGUCCCACACAACUACAUAAAAAUAAAGAAUUUACAUUUACUUUGAAUUAAAUGUGUAACGGCCGUCGAAGGGAGUAGACCAAGGCGCAGCGUGUUGAGUGCUCAUCAUAUAAUGUUAAUAGAACACUUUAAACAAAACCACAAACGACAGCCAAACAGUUCUGUCAGGAACAUCAACUAAACAGAAAGUAACCACCCACAAAACCCAAAGGAAAACAGGCUGCCUAAGUAUGGCUACCAAUCAGAGACAACGAUCUACAGCUGUCCCUGAUUGAGAACCAUACCCGGCCAAAACAAAGAAAUACAAAACAUAGAAAAAAGGACAUAGAAUGCCCACCCUAGUCACACCGUGGCCUAACCAAAAUAGAGAAUAAAACCCUCUCUAUGGCCAGGGCGUGACAAAAUGUCAUUACAUACCAGACAUUUUUAGUAUAUUCUCAGCCAUUUCUUUUCGCAGUUGCUCCAUGUGUUUUUGUGAAGGUUCUAUAUCAAUUUGGGAGGGGAUGUUGGGGAAGUUAUGUGCAUCUUCCUUGGCCAUCUACACCAAAAAAAUUGUGUAGGCGUUAAGCGCACGCAAAUGUGCAUGCAGGCGGUUCAACAUGUGCUAAAUAAACGGCUGCAAGCGGUCCUGCACACGUCAAGUUGAGGCCUACAGCUGCUAAAUAUACACCUACACACGGUAACUUAAUGCGUUCCUUAAUAUGCUAAUUUUACUAGCCAAUUUCCCUAGCUCCUCCUUUCAAACAGGUUUCAAUAAUCAGUGUACAGUCAGUUUGAUGCAACAACAUCCAAUUGAAGAUGGCACUUCCUUAUCCGCUGCAAAUAGACCCUAAAUGACUGCACUUGGCUUCUGCUCUCUGAUAAUCCUGAACUUGAUGCCCUUGAGUCCACGUUAACAAGUUUUAACAGGAAUCGCAGUUCAUUCAGGAGAUUCGUUCGUCUGGCUGGCAUGCACAACAAGCCAGUUCUGGUCACCGGCUCCUCGGACUUGGAGAGGAGCUAGAGGUGCACCUUGUUAUGCCAUCACUCAAGAGCAACAGGUUUCUGAUGUCCAGUGCUUUCAGUGUGUCUCAGAUGGCAGAUAUUCAACAUGUGUCCUGAUCAACACUCAAACGUCGUCUAAGUUCAGUUGUUCUUGGGCGUAAUGCUAUAAACUACAGACUUUAUAUGCAUGGUUUCCAGUUUCAUACCAAUCAAACAAUUUAGAAUGACUAUAAUCAAGACGGGACUUUAAAAUGACUAUGAUGAUAUACAUUACCUCAUCUCUGUCCAUUGUUACAAAUUUCCCAGACACUUCAAUCUGUCACAUGCACCAUUAUAUUCUGACAUGUCAGACUUGGCUCUGGAUGUAAAGAUGAAGGACUUGGUGGCUGGGAACGACGACCUUGGACCGGAGGCUGUUCGAGCACUCACGUUUUUGAAAUGUGUAAGCCUUUAAAUGACCUUUUACAGACUACUUCUACAAACGAGGCUACACUUGUGGCAGCACCUAUUCCUGUGGCCCCCCCAUCUUCUGCACCACUUCCUGUGGCCUCCCCUCCACCAUUCCCUGAGGCUUAUCGUCCACCUUCACCACACUCUUCUGUUGAUGUUGGUGAUGACAAUGAUGUUGACCUCCAAACACUGCUGAAGUUAAUGAGAUGCCAACCAAAUGAACGUGGGAUGCUGACGGUAAAGGGGCAGCUGAUGAGGGUGGUCCCUCAUGAGAAUUUCCCCAGCUGCUAAUGAGUGCCAUCCAUUCCUCUGCAAUAUUUGAGGGACCUGAUUGACAAAAAUGCCUUUCUUGCAACUCUCAAGCACUCUAUGAUGGCGUAUACAAGCAGGUGGGCCGCAUGAUUGCUGUCUGUCUGGUACAUGGGGGUGUAGAGACACCAUUUUUUCAGAGAGGCUAUACAGGCAAGUGUGUGGCCUAAAACCUCCUGUGCCAGAACUGAAAGAAAUUGCGGAAUAUGACUUCAGAGAGAAGUUGGAGAAGUUCAAUAAACAAUCUAAGAUCCAGUUAGCACAAACUGUUGACGAGGCACAGGAAGUGGUCAUGUUGGGUCCAGUGCGAUACAUUCGUACAUUGGAGUGGGAUGCCCUGGUGGAGUCAGCCACAAAGUUCUACUUAGAAAGCAGGAUACGGGAUGCUCUUGAGUAGUGAGUUUCCAUAUAUCUAAGGAAUCUCAAGUUUAGUUCAAUUCUUCAGGGCAAAUUCAUACUUUUUUAAAACUUUAUAGAUUCAAAGAGGGUCUGGAGUGUCUAGGUCUCCUGCCUUACAUGAAUAGACACUCAAGCCUCUUCAGAGGUUUUCAUCUACGCUGAGAAACCUCAUUUGGCCAAAGACAUAGCUUCUCUCUUCAAAGCAGAGCGCUCCCCACCUGGUACCAAUUAAAGAGCAAUAGAGAAGAGUUCUAUGUUUCUGGAGCGACUGGCUGCUGGAGGUGGAAGGUUAGAUGCAAAACCAUGAUCAUUGAAGUAACACGGCCCACAUCAGUAAAACAUCACCUAAUCACUCUCACAACUGUGGGAAAGCAUUUUGUAACCUUAUUCUUCCAUGGGCCCCCUAAGAAUGUAAUAGAUAAGUGAAAGUAGUUUGGAUUUAAUUUAAGAGUAUUGUGUUCUCCAACAAGUGUUACUUAUGCACUUUAAUGUCCCCCCCUUUCCUUUUUUCAGGGGGGAACACAUACUCUUUAACCAUGGAGAAGGUUUUCGUUUUCACUUCAGGGGCUUCAGCAUUCCUAGGCUGGGAUUGCCAGUGGAGCCACAACUACAGUUCUCUGCAACCGCACAGCAAGCGGUACCGGAGCGCCAAGUCUAGGUCCAAGAGGCUUCUAAACAGCUUCUACCCCCAAGCCAUAAGACUACUGAACAUCUAAUCAAAUGGCUACCCAGACUAUUUUCUGCUACUCUAUCUAUGCAUAGUCACUUUAAUAUCUCUACCUAUAUGUAUAUAUGACUAACCAGUGCCCCCGCACAUUCUCUGUACCUGUACUCCCCCUGUAUAUAGCUUCACUAUUGUUAUUUUCCUGAUGCUCUUUAAUUAUUUACUUUUUUUUUUUUUUUGUAGCUGCAUUGUUGUUUAAGGGCUUGUAAGUAAGCAUUUCACUGUAAGGUCUACACCUGUUGUAUUUGGUGCAUGUGACAAAGACAAUUUGAUUUGAUUUAAAGAAUUCAUUUAAGGGGAAUUAUCCAAAACGUUUAUUGCAUGACCACCUAGUAAAUUCGGAAUACUGCAGCCAAUGUUAAUUGAUGUGCUAGCUAGCUGACUUCUGUGGCUAGCUACCAUAGGUGAGAACGGGGGUUGAAAAUGCUUCGAGGGAAUCCAAAAGUGAAGGUGGAGGUAGGGGACGAUUAUGGCCAAGGAGGUGCGUGUGCAUGGACGUCGGAGGAUCUGGCUGAGGAGAUCGCCAGGACGUCGGAGCCCAGAGGCCGCUUGAGGGAGGACGUUAGAGUGAUGGUUGCUGAAGCGGGCAUGAGUGCUUCAUUGACUGUGCUUCGCGCGGAUUCUGGUGGGCGGACCGAAGGGGUGACGUCGACGAGGAAUCUGGGGCUCAGGAUGUAAACAAACAUGGCGGCGCCCAGCUCCCGGCUGUGUCCGUAUCUGUUAAGACCCCGACGUAUUCCGGUAAGGCGGAUUGGGAAGCUUUUCAUGCUCAGUUUGAACUGUUAGCUCAUUUUAGGGGAUGAUCACGGAUGAUGCUCUGGCCUGUUUGAUAUUGAUUAGCCCCGAGGACAGACGUGAUUAUGGUGCUUCAGUGGGAGCACUGAGGAGGCGCUAUGGACUGUAUGUACAGCCCGGCUGCUGCGCUCCGAACUGAGUAAUAGACGCAGGCAGCCUGGAGAGCCUCUACGGGUGCUAGCUAAUGACAUUAAGAGCCUCUCUCGGCCGGCAUAUGCUCACAUGCCCCCCUCCGUGCAGAGCGAGCUAGCACGGGACCAGUUCAUACAGGCGCUCUCCUACGGAGCUGCGCAUACAGACCCAGCUGGCUCAUCCUGAGUCAUUGCCGAUAGCUUUGGAGAGGGAGCUGGUGUGGGCUGGGGCUUUGGUGGGGGUGCAGGGAGACAGACCCUCUGUGCGGGCUGGGGGGCAGAGCAGCCCAGACCUGGAAAAGCCUGCAUGGGUGGCUGAAAUGACAGAACUCAUAGCGUGCUGUGUCGCUACCCUAGUCCCAGGGUCUGCUGGGGUUGUUGCCAGCCAGGCCAUCUGCGCAGGGGUUGCCCCUUGUCCCCCAGAGCUCAGGGAAACGGCUCGGGGUCCGCAUAGACCGGGUAGUGUGGACCCCUGGCUUUCUUUCCCAACCACCAUCUUCUUCAGGAGGAGCCCACCGGCCCAGACGGGGAAGCAAGGCUCCACUUCCCCCAGAAGCAGACGAGGGCAAGCGGAUGGAGCCUGUCGUUGUGAUGGGCCGGACCUGUGUUGGAGACUUUUGUCAUGUCCCUGUCACUGUGGAGGGUGUUCCCUGCUCUGCCCUGGUUGACACUGGGUCCACAGUAACCCUGGUGAGGCCGGAUAUUGUGCCAGGUUGGACUCAGUGUGAACCCACAACUGUGCAGCUCCGCACAGUCACAGGUGAGCUGGCACCCAUGAAAGGGAAGGGAAUAAUGACUCUGACAGUAGGGGGCAGGUCUGUGCGUCAUCCUGUGUGGGUGGCGGCUGUGCAGGACCCUUGCAUCCUGGGGUUGGACUUUCUUAGGCGCACAGGCUGGCAGUUAGACCUAAAUGGGGGAACACAGAGCUUCCAGGGAGGGCCGGCAGUCACCAUGGCCCCCCUAAUGUCACAUUCACUCAACCCAACAAACCCUUUACUCCAACAGUUAAAGCAGCAGAGACUCAUGGCUGCCCCCCCUCCCCCCACAUCUGUGUGACUUUUCCCCAGGCCCCCUGUCACCUACGGCUGUGCGUUACAUUCCCUCGGCUACCUCCACGACACAUCCCUCCGUGGCAGUUGCUGUUUGAAUUCAGAGACGGCUUUGCGCUGAGUGAGGAAGAGGUGGGUCAGACUCAUCUGGUGCAGCAUGAGAUCGACACAGGUGAUGCUUGACCCAUCAAGAUGCGUCCCCGCCGUAUCCCGCUGGCACGCCAGGAGGCGGCAGACAAGGCUGUGUUGAAAGGAGGGAGUAGUGUAACGACCCUGGGUUUAUAAGCGUGGAAAUCGACUCUGCCGCUCGAGCAUGCUUUUGCGGCACAGUCGAUAGCGCGCUGGACUUCGGGCUAGAAGGUCGAGGGUUCGAGACCUGCUGUUUCAUUACAUUGGUGUCAGAAGUGAUCGAACCUUGCAUCCACGACAGUGCGUGUGCUUGGCUGGUGAGCACGUUUCAAGACCUCCCUGCCUGUUUCAUUACAGUAUAUUUAGCAGCUGUAGGCGUUAACUUGACGUGUGCAGGACCGCUUGCAGCUGUUUAUUUAGCACAUGUUGAAAAAACGACUUUAUAUCGGUGUUAUAUGCAUGUUCACACGCGUAUCUGCCGUCUCAUUGACUAGAAUGGUCCCACUUCAACAGCUGAGGGAUAUACUGAUCGCCAAGGUGGAUUUCGUGGCAUUUUAUUGUGCAAGUGAUUAAUUGUACUGGCCAAAUGAGUCCAAGAAACUGGCCGUCGUAUCUGCGGGUGAAAGGUUCUUGGGUAUCCACGAUUUCACGGCUGAAACGUAAGGAAUACUGUCUGAAUAUGUUAUUCUUUCUCAGGCACCAGAGAGCCUGUAGCAAUCAGUUGUUUCAUUGUCAUUUGUUUAUUAUUUGGGAAGAAUGUGAUUUCUCUCCCCCUUUUUCUCUUAUUGUUUUAUUUGAUCUCGUAUACUACCCUGUACAGUGGGUGGCGGCAUGCACCUCUAACAUGUUUGCGUACCGCUAUAAUACCAUAGAAGAGUUGUCCCAACUGAUCGGUCAUGGCUAAAAGUUAAAUUAACGUCAAAAGUAGUUCAUUUUGCAUUUUAGCUAACUUUAACCUAAUUAUUCUAACCUGCUCCAGAAAGUAAAAUAUGACAAAACCCACCUGGUCUCUUCCUCGGGCCUGCCUUCCUUCUUUGAAGACAGAAAAACAGGAGAACUGUGCAAUGUCUGGAUAUGGAACGUCGGAAUCUACACCGAGAGAUUUGCCGACUAUCCUCAGGUGUUGUGAAGAGAAGGUUUGACUGGACGUUGUUACUGGGAGGCUGAGUGCGGUGGGAAAUCGUUUAAUGCAGGUGUGGCAUAUGAAGACAUGAGCAGGGUUGGAAAAGAGCUCAACUGUUUAUUUUGUUACAAUGACAAAUCCUGGAGCCUGAGACGCCUCAAACGUCGUUUCCUCAAACGCUGACAAAGUUGGGGUGUAGCUGAACUCCUCAAGGCAUUCUGUCCUAACAAGUCUACGACACACCUGCAUUUCACUCAACCUUCACUGAACCACUCUAUGCAAUACUGUCAGUCAGUGACUAUUCAUCAGUGUCUCCGUGCUUGGUCUCAAAUGAGGAGAAAAGGAGGAUGGCAGAUGGUUAAGAUAAUAUCCUGUUCGAGGGAGAGAUCAGUUGACUGAGAAAAUACAUUUGAAAAAAUUCACAAUAUUUUCCAUAAUGAUUUGAACAUUUCAAUGUUCUGAAUGACCUCCAUUCUUAACGUGUUUAUAUCGGAGGUCUUACUGUACACCUCAAACUAUUCAGAUUAACAGUAUACACCAUUCCAUGGUCUUAGUAAAAAAAAUGUUUUAAUAUUUUUAGAUGUGAUGCAUUUUUAUCUAAUAAAGUAAUUAACAUUUCUCAAGCACUUGACCCCAAACUCUGGUCUUCUUACCCCAAACCACCACACCUCUAACCCAGCAAGUAUGGGGAUAGUGAGAGAGAGCACACAGAGAUAGAGAAGCUGACAUAUGAAGUCAGCCAUGCUUGACUUGCACCGCACCAUCUGUCUCCCUCCAAAUUUUAAUGAGACACCAGGAAGGGGGGAGACUAGAGAAGAGGCUGGAUCCAUUCAAACAGACAUCUUGUUAGACUACAGCGCUUCUCCAAGGUAAUGGUCUGCUGGGUAUUUUUGCUGUAUAGUGGAUAGAUAGAAGUAGACUAACUUCAUGUUGCUGCUGUGUGUUGGAAGAAGGGAGGGGGUAUGGUGUGAGGUGCUUGUGUCUCGGCUUAACCUUCUCUAUUU
rnacentral:lncRNA from 1 species